rnacentral:rRNA from 1 species
GACGAACGCUGGCGGCGUGCUUAACACAUGCAAGUCGAACGGAAAGGCCCUGCUUUUGUGGGGUGCUCGAGUGGCGAACGGGUGAGUAACACGUGAGUAACCUGCCCUUGACUUUGGGAUAACUUCAGGAAACUGGGGCUAAUACCGGAUAGGAGCUCCUGCUGCAUGGUGGGGGUUGGAAAGUUUCGGCGGUUGGGGAUGGACUCGCGGCUUAUCAGCUUGUUGGUGGGGUAGUGGCUUACCAAGGCUUUGACGGGUAGCCGGCCUGAGAGGGUGACCGGCCACAUUGGGACUGAGAUACGGCCCAGACUCCUACGGGAGGCAGCAGUGGGGAAUAUUGCACAAUGGGCGGAAGCCUGAUGCAGCAACGCCGCGUGCGGGAUGACGGCCUUCGGGUUGUAAACCGCUUUCGCCUGUGACGAAGCGUGAGUGACGGUAAUGGGUAAAGAAGCACCGGCUAACUACGUGCCAGCAGCCGCGGUGAUACGUAGGGUGCGAGCGUUGUCCGGAUUUAUUGGGCGUAAAGGGCUCGUAGGUGGUUGAUCGCGUCGGAAGUGUAAUCUUGGGGCUUAACCCUGAGCGUGCUUUCGAUACGGGUUGACUUGAGGAAGGUAGGGGAGAAUGGAAUUCCAGGUGGAGCGGUGGAAUGCGCAGAUAUCAGGAGGAACACCAGUGGCGAAGGCGGUUCUCUGGGCCUUUCCUGACGCUGAGGAGCGAAAGCGUGGGGAGCGAACAGGCUUAGAUACCCUGGUAGUCCACGCUGUAAACGGUGGGUACUAGGUGUGGGGUCCAUUCCACGGGUUCCGUGCCGUAGCUAACGCUUUAAGUACCCCGCCUGGGGAGUACGGCCGCAAGGCUAAAACUCAAAGGAAUUGACGGGGCCCCGCACAAGCGGCGGAGCAUGCGGAUUAAUUCGAUGCAACGCGUAGAACCUUACCUGGGUUUGACAUGGAUCGGGAGCGCUCAGAGAUGGGUGUGCCUCUUUUGGGGUCGGUUCACAGGUGGUGCAUGGCUGUCGUCAGCUCGUGUCGUGAGAUGUUGGGUUAAGUCCCGCAACGAGCGCAACCCUUGUUCACUGUUGCCAGCACGUUAUGGUGGGGACUCAGUGGAGACCGCCGGGGUCAACUCGGAGGAAGGUGGGGAUGACGUCAAGUCAUCAUGCCCCUUAUGUCCAGGGCUUCACGCAUGCUACAAUGGCUGGUACAGAGAGUGGCGAGCCUGUGAGGGUGAGCGAAUCUCGGAAAGCCGGUCUCAGUUCGGAUUGGGGUCUGCAACUCGACCUCAUGAAGUCGGAGUCGCUAGUAAUCGCAGAUCAGCAACGCUGCGGUGAAUACGUUCCCGGGGCU